rnacentral:rRNA from 1 species
UACGAAGGGGGCUAGCGUUGCUCGGAAUCACUGGGCGUAAAGGGUGCGUAGGCGGGUCUUUAAGUCAGGGGUGAAAUCCUGGAGCUCAACUCCAGAACUGCCUUUGACACUGAGGAUCUUGAGUCCGGGAGAGGUGAGUGGAACUGCGAGUGUAGAGGUGAAAUUCGUAGAUAUUCGCAAGAACACCAGUGGCGAAGGCGGCUCACUGGCCCGGUACUGACGCUGAGGCACGAAAGCGUGGGGAGCAAACAGG